UACGUAGGGUGCAAGCGUUGUCCGGAAUUAUUGGGCGUAAAGAGCUCGUAGGCGGUCUGUCGCGUCGGCUGUGAAAACUCGGGGCUCAACCCCGAGCCUGCAGUCGAUACGGGCAGACUAGAGUGCUGUAGGGGAGACUGGAAUUCCUGGUGUAGCGGUGAAAUGCGCAGAUAUCAGGAGGAACACCGGUGGCGAAGGCGGGUCUCUGGGCCGGUGCUGACGCUGAGGCGCGAAGGCCAGGGGAGCAAACGGG
rnacentral:rRNA from 1 species